AUGUUGGAGUUCAAGCACUACGCGGCUGGUUCGAGGUGGAGGCAAACCACGGUGAGCAGGAAAGACCACCGGGAGAAAGGGGACGAGACGGACGGCUUCUAUGGCGGCAUCAGGAAACUGCAGACCAAAGACGAGAUCUCCACAUGUCGGCGAUUCUGGCCGGUUGAUGUGCUCAUCCGAACAUUGAGAUAUCUGUCGCUCCAUUGUACAGCUGAUUACCUACUAGUGGUCGCCGAGCUGCGACGUUCCUCUGAAGAAUGCACCCACCUGGUGCUGUUGCUGACGCCGCCACCCUUCUGA
rnacentral:rRNA from 1 species